rnacentral:lncRNA from 1 species
GCCAGCGGGAGGCCUGGGUGGAGCAGAGAAGUGGCCCUGUCCCCUUAGCCUCGAGGCCAGCAGAAGCCACGAGCCUGGGGACAGCAGAGGUCUCCAUCCAAGGGCUGAAACACGAUGAGGCUGCUCAGAGGACUCCAUCUGGCUCUUCCUGGGCAAGGAAAAUCAACAGGGGCCGAGGGGAGAAGAAAGACAGUAGUGCAGUAUUCCUCCCUGCCAAUGGACACCAUCCUCAAAGAGUGCCUCACUGAUUUUUGUCCUGACUCCUCUGGCCAUCUCCUCCUCUGGCACAUUCCUACAGCAAGACACGUCAGAUGGGGAAACUGAGGCACAGAGACUUCCGAGAACUGCCCAAACCGUCACAGACCAUUAGCUUCCCCAUGGCUUCCUCAGAACUGCCAAUCCCCUACCUGUCCCCUCCAGCCUCAGCCCCUGCCCUGAGUUUAAACCUCAGGAGGACCACGACCUCUGUCCUCACCAGCUGGAAGCCCAGGUCCCCCCUCUAACUAGCCAUGCGAACUGGGCAAAUAACCAGACCUCCUUAGUUCUGAUUCUGCUUCUGGAAAAUGGAAACAAU